rnacentral:rRNA from 1 species
AGCGAACGCUGGCGGCAGGCUUAACACAUGCAAGUCGAACGAAGUGGCGGACGGGUGAGUAACACGUGGGAACGUGCCUUUAGGUUCGGAAUAACCCAGGGAAACUUGUGCUAAUACCGAAAGCCUUUAGGGCGGCCCGCGGCUGAUUAGCUAGUCGGGGAGGUAAAGGCUCACCAAGGGGACGAUCAGUAGCUGGUCUGAGAUGAUGAUCAGCCACAUUGGGACUGAGACACGGCCCAAACUCCUACGGGAGGCAGCAGUGGUGAAUAUGGCGCAAUGGGCGAAAGCCUGACGCAGCCAUGCCGCGUGGAUGAUGAAGGUCUGAGGAUUGGAAAAUUCUUUCACCGGGGGCGCGGUACCCGGAGAAGAAGCCACGGCUAACUUCGUGCCAGCCGCCGCGGUAAUUC